rnacentral:misc_RNA from 1 species
GAUGAAGAACGCAGCGAAAUGCGAUACGUAAUGUGAAUUGCAGAAUUCAGUGAAUCAUCGAGUCUUUGAACGCACAUUGCGCCCCCUGGUAUUCCGGGGGGCAUGCCUGUCCGAGCGUCAUUGCUGCCCUCAAGCACGGCUUGUGUGCUGGGCCUCCGUCCUCCUCCCGGGGGACGGGCCCGAAAGGCAGCGGCGGCACCGCGUCCGGUCCUCGAGCGUAUGGGGCUUCGUCACCCGCUCUUGUAGGCCCGGCCGGCGCUUGCCGACACAUCAAUCUUUUUUCCAGGUUGACCUCGGAUCAGGUAGGGAUACCCGCUGAACUUAAGCAUAUCAAUAAGCGGAGGA